AUUGAACGCUGGCGGCAGGCCUAACACAUGCAAGUCGAGCGGAGCAGCGGACGGGUGAGUAAUGCCUAGGAAUGUGACUGGUAGUGGGGGAUAACGUCCGGAAACGGGCGCUAAUACAGAAUACUAUCAGAUGCGCCUAGGUAGGAAUCGCUAGUGGGUGGGGUAAAGGCCUACCAAGGCGAAGAACCGUCACUGGUCUGAGAGGAGAAUGAGUCACACUGGAACUGAGACACUGUCCAGACCCCUACGGGAGGCAGCAGUGGGGAAUAUUGGACAAUGGGCGAAAUCCUGGUCCAGCCAUGCCGCGGGUGUGAAGAUGGUCUUCGGAUUGUAAAGCACUUUAAGUUGGGAGGCGUUACCAACAGAAUAAGCACCGGCUAACUUCGUGCCAGCAGCCGCGGUAAUUC
rnacentral:rRNA from 1 species